rnacentral:lncRNA from 1 species
CUAGACCAGGACCAGAGUUAUAGUUAGGGCCUAUAGGGAGAAUAUAACUAGACCAGAGUUAUAGUUAGGGUCUAUAGGGAGAAUAUAACUAGACAAGAGUUACAGUUAGGGUCUAUAGGGAGGAUAUAACUAGACCAGAGUUAUAGUUAGGGUCUAUAGGGAGGAUAUAACUAGACCAGGACCAGAGUUAUAGUUAGGGUCUAUAGGGAGAACAUAACUAGACCAGGACCAGAGCUAUAGUUAGGGUCUACAGGGAGAAUAUAACUAGACCAGGACCAGAGUUAUAGUUAGGGUCUAUAGGGAGAAUAUAACUAGACCAGGACCAGAGCUAUAGUUAGGGUCUAUAGGGAGAAUAUAACUAGACCAGGACCAGAGCUAUAGUUAGGGUCUACAGGGAGAAUAUAACUAGACCAGGACCAGAGUUAUAGUUAGGGUCUAUAGGGAGAAUAUAACUAGACCAGGACCAGAGCUAUAGUUAGGGUCUAUAGGGAGAAUAUAACUAGACGAGGACCAGAGUUAUAGUUAGGGACCUUUUGUGAGAAUAUAACUAGACCAGAGUUAUAGUUAGGGCCUAUAGGGAGAAUAUAACUAGACCAGGGCCAGAGUUAUAGUUAGGGCCUAUAGGGAGAAUAUAACUAGACCAGAGUUAUAGUUAGGGUCUACAGGGAGAAUAAAACUAGACCAGGACCAGAGUUAUAGUUAGGGCCUAUGGUGAGAAUAUAACUAGACCAGGACCAGAGUUAUAGUUAGGGCCUUUAGGGAGGAUAUAACUAGACCAGGACCAGAGUUAUAGUUAGGGCCUAUAGGGAGAAUAUAACUAGAUCAGAGUUAUAGUUAUGGCCUUUAGGGAGAAUAUAACUAGACCAGGACCAGAGUUAUAGUUAGGUUCUAUAGGGAGGAUAUAACUAGACCAGAGUUAUAGUUAGGGCCUAUAGGGAGGAUAUAAUUAGACCAGAGAUAUAGUUAGGGUCUAUAGGGAGAAUAUAACUAGACCAGAGUUAUAGUUAGGGCCUACAGGGAGGAUAUAACUAGACCAGGACCAGAGUUAUAAUUAGGGCCUAUAGGGAGAAUAUAACUAGACCAGGACCAGAGUUAUAGUUAGGGCCUAUAGGGAGAAUAUAACUAGACCAGAGUUAUAGUUAGGGUCUAUAGGGAGAAUAUAACUAGACCAGGACCAGAGCUAUAGUUAGGGCCUAUAGGGAGAAUAUAACUAGACCAGAGUUAUAGUUAGGGUCUAUAGGGAGAAUAUAACUAGACCAGGACCAGAGUUAUAGUUAGGGCCUAUAGGGAGAAUAUAACUAGACCAGAGUUAUAGUUAGGGUCUAUAGGGAGAAUAUAACUAGACCAGGACCAGAGUUAUAAGUUGGGGCCUAUAGGGAGAAUAUAACUGGACCGGGACCAGAGUUAUAGUUAGGGUCUAUAGGGAGAAUAUAAAUAGACCAGAGUUAUAGUUAGGGUCUAUAGGGAGAAUAUAACUACACCAGGACCAGAGCUAUAGUUAGGGUCUAUAGGGAGAAUAUAACUAGACCAGGACCAGAGCUAUAGUUAGGGUCUACAGGGAGAAUAUAACUAGACCAGGACCAGAGUUAUAGUUAGGGUCUAUAGGGAGAAUAUAACUGGACCGGGACCAGAGCUAUAGUUAGGGUCUAUAGGGAGAAUAUAACUAGACGAGGACCAGAGUUAUAGUUAGGGACCUUUUGUGAGAAUAUAACUAGACCAGAGUUAUAGUUAGGGCCUAUAGGGAGAAUAUAACUAGACCAGGGCCAGAGUUAUAGUUAGGGCCUAUAGGGAGAAUAUAACUAGACCAGAGUUAUAGUUAGGGUCUACAGGGAGAAUAAAACUAGACCAGGACCAGAGUUAUAGUUAGGGCCUAUGGUGAGAAUAUAACUAGACCAGGACCAGAGUUAUAGUUAGGGCCUUUGGGGAGGAUAUAACUAGACCAGGACCAGAGUUAUAGUUGGGGCCUAUAGGGAGAAUAUAACUAGAUCAGAGUUAUAGUUAUGGCCUUUGAGGAGAAUAUAACUAGACCAGGACCAGAGUUAUAGUUGGGUUCUAUAGGGAGGAUAUAACUAGACCAGAGUUAUAGUUAGGGCCUAUAGGGAGGAUAUAACUAGACCAGAGAUAUAGUUAGGGUCUAUAGGGAGAAUAUAACUAGACCAGAGUUAUAGUUAGGGCCUAUAGGGAGGAUAUAACUAGACCAGGACCAGAGUUAUAGUUAGGGCCUAUAGGGAGGAUAUAACUUGACCAGAGUUACAGUUAGGGCCUAUAGGGAGGAUAUAACUAGACCAGGACCAGAGGUAUAGGUAAGGCCUAUAGGGAGAAUAUAACUAGACCAGGACCAGAGUUAUAGUUAGGGCCUAGGGAGAAUAUAACUGAACCAGGACCAGAGUUAUAGUUGGGGCCUAUGGGGAGAAUAUAACUAGACCAGGACCAGAGUUAUAAUUAGGGCCUAUGGGGAGAAUAUAACUAGACCUGGACCAGAGUUAUAGUUGGGGCCUAUAGGGAGAAUAUA